rnacentral:rRNA from 1 species
UACGAAGGGGGCUAGCGUUGCUCGGAAUCACUGGGCGUAAAGGGUGCGUAGGCGGGUCUUUAAGUCAGGGGGGAAAUCCUGGAGCUCAACUCCAGAACUGCCUUCGAUACUGGCGAUCUUGAGUCCGGAAGAGGUGAGUGGAACUCCUAGUGUAGAGGUGGAAUUCGUAGAUAUUAGGAAGAACACCAGUGGCGAAGGCGGCUCACUGGUCCGGUACUGACGCUGAGGUGCGAAAGCGUGGGGAGCAAACAGG